AUUGACCGCUGGCGGCAGGCCUUACACAUGCAAGUCGACCGAGUGGCGGACGGGUGAGUAAUGUAUGGGAAACUGCCCGGUAGAGGGGGAUAACUACUGGAAACGGUAGCUAAUACCGCAUACUAUCGGAUGUGCCCAGAUGGGAUUAGCUAGUUGGUGGGGUAACGGCUCACCUAGGCGACGAUCCCUAGCUGGUCUGAGAGGAUGACCAGCCACACUGGAACUGAGACACGGACCAGACUCCUACGGGAGGCAGCAGUGGGAAAUAGUGCACAAUGGGCGCAAGCCUGAUGCAGCCAUGCCGCGUGUAUGAUGAAGGCCUUCGGGUUGUAAAGUACUUUCGGCAGGGAGGCGGUACCCGCAGAAGAAGCAUCGGCUAACUCCGUGCCAGCAGCCGCGGUAAUUC
rnacentral:rRNA from 1 species